GUGGGGAAUAUUGGACAAUGGGCGAAAGCCUGAUCCAGCAAUGCCGCGUGAGUGAUGAAGGCCCUAGGGUUGUAAAGCUCUUUUACCCGGGAUGAUAAUGACAGUACCGGGAGAAUAAGCUCCGGCUAACUCCGUGCCAGCAGCCGCGGUAAUACGGAGGGAGCUAGCGUUGUUCGGAAUUACUGGGCGUAAAGCGCGCGUAGGCAGUUUUCCAAGUCAGGGGUGAAAGCCCGGGGCUCAACCCCGGAAUAGCCCUUGAAACUGGAAGACUAGAAUCUUGGAGAGGUCAGUGGAAUUCCGAGUGUAGAGGUGAAAUUCGUAGAUAUUCGGAAGAACACCAGUGGCGAAGGCGACUGACUGGACAAGUAUUGACGCUGAGGUGCGAAAGCGUGGGGAGCAAACAGGAUUAGAAACCCGUGUAGUCC
rnacentral:rRNA from 1 species